rnacentral:rRNA from 1 species
GUCGAACGGCAGCACAGGAGAGCUUGCUCUCUGGGUGGCGAGUGGCGGACGGGUGAGGAAUACAUCGGAAUCUACCUUUUCGUGGGGGAUAACGUAGGGAAACUUACGCUAAUACCGCAUACGACCUUCGGGUGAAAGCAGGGGACCUUCGGGCCUUGCGCGGAUAGAUGAGCCGAUGUCGGAUUAGCUAGUUGGCGGGGUAAAGGCCCACCAAGGCGACGAUCCGUAGCUGGUCUGAGAGGAUGAUCAGCCACACUGGAACUGAGACACGGUCCAGACUCCUACGGGAGGCAGCAGUGGGGAAUAUUGGACAAUGGGCGCAAGCCUGAUCCAGCCAUACCGCGUGGGUGAAGAAGGCCUUCGGGUUGUAAAGCCCUUUUGUUGUGAAAGAAAAGCAGUCGGCUAAUACCCGGUUGUUCUGACGGUACCCAAAGAAUAAGCACCGGCUAACUUCGUGCCAGCAGCCGCGGUAAUACGAAGGGUGCAAGCGUUACUCGGAAUUACUGGGUGUAAAGCGUGCGUAGGUGGUUGUUUAAGUCUGUUGUGAAAGCCCUGGGCUCAACCUGGGAAUUGCAGUGGAUACUGGGCGACUAGAGUGUGGUAGAGGGUAGUGGAAUUCCCGGUGUAGCAGUGAAAUGCGUAGAGAUCGGGAGGAACAUCCAUGGCGAAGGCAGCUACCUGGACCAACACUGACACUGAGGCACGAAAGCGUGGGGAGCAAACAGGAUUAGAUANCCUGGUAGUCCACGCCCUAAACGAUGCGAACUGGAUGUUGGGUGCAAUUUGGCACGCAGUAUCGAAGCUAACGC